rnacentral:rRNA from 1 species
GACAGAGGUGCCGAGCGUUAGGCGGAAUCACUGGGCUUAAAGCGUGUGUAGGCGGACUUCUAAGUACCUUGUGAAAUCCCAUGGCUCAACCAUGGAACUGCUCGGUAUACUGGUUGUCUUGAGCCACUUAGGGGCAGUCGGAACAGGCGGUGGAGCGGUGAAAUGCGUAGAUAUCAUUUGGAACGCCAAUGGUGAAAACAGGUAGCUGGGGGUGUGCUGACGCUGAGACACGAAAGCCAGGGGAGCAAACAGG